CAAACCCGCAUCUGCAUCUCCUGCAUUGGCAGGCAGAUCCUUUACCUCUGAGCCACCUGGGAAGCCGCAGGACCAGACACUAGACUUAAUAUUUUGUUUGCUCCAUGUCAGAGACUCUUCACAAUAACCCUCAGGAGGAACGGAGACCAGCCAGCAGCCAGCAAGAACACAGAGGCCUCAGUCCUACAGCCGCGGGGAACUGGUUCUGCCGACAACCUAAAUAAACUUGGGGGCAAAUUCUCCCCCAGAACCUUCGACGGUGAGCUGUUCAUCAAAAUCCCUGCUCCCCUUUCACAGCAUAGCGCCGUCGCUGAGGAGCUGAGACUACAUUUCCCAGCUGCCCUUGCAACAAGGUGUGGUCAUGUGACUAGUUCCCACCAAUAGUAUGCGAGCCAAAGAGAUACGUACCAAUGCCUUAGGAGGCAGGGAAAGAAGCAGGUGUGCCUCCCCCAUCCAUCUUCUCUCCGGC